rnacentral:rRNA from 1 species
AGAGUUGAUCCUGGCUCAGAUUGAACGCUGGCGGCAGGCCUAACACAUGCAAGUCGAGCGGUAACAGAGAAUAGCUUGCUACUCUGCUGACGAGCGGCGGACGGGUGAGUAAUGCUUGGGAAUGUACCUUAUGGUGGGGGACAACAGUUGGAAACGACUGCUAAUACCGCAUAAUGUCUUCGGACCAAAGCGGGGGACCUUCGGGCCUCGCGCCAUAAGAUCAGCCCAAGUGGGAUUAGCUAGUUGGUGAGGUAAUGGCUCACCAAGGCGACGAUCCCUAGCUGGUUUGAGAGGAUGACCAGCCACACUGGGACUGAGACACGGCCCAGACUCCUACGGGAGGCAGCAGUGGGGAAUAUUGCACAAUGGGCGCAAGCCUGAUGCAGCCAUGCCGCGUGUGUGAAGAAGGCCUUCGGGUUGUAAAGCACUUUCAGUAAGGAGGAAAGGUUGGAUGUUAAUAGCAUUCAGCUGUGACGUUACUUACAGAAGAAGCACCGGCUAACUCCGUGCCAGCAGCCGCGGUAAUAC